rnacentral:rRNA from 1 species
UACGGAGGGUGCAAGCGUUAUCCGGAUUCACUGGGUUUAAAGGGAGCGUAGGUGGGUUGGUAAGUCAGUGGUGAAAUCCCCGAGCUUAACUUGGGAACUGCCAUUGAUACUAUCAGUCUUGAAUAUUGUGGAGGUCAGCGGAAUAUGUCAUGUAGCGGUGAAAUGCUUAGAGAUGACAUAGAACACCAAUUGCGAAGGCAGCUGGCUACGCAUAUAUUGACACUGAGGCUCGAAAGCGUGGGGAUCAAACAGG